UGACCCCGGCUCGAGUAAGAACACCCCCUAAGUCUAAGCACAUAAUUCAAUGGAGGAAAAGAAACUUACAAUGAUUCCCCUAGUAACAGUUAGUGAACCGAGAAGAGCUUGGCAUGAAAAUCGAGCAGCAACAUCCCCUGAAUUGUAGUUUGUAGAAGCAUCCUUAGAGGUGGACUGAGCCCAAGUCCCCUAGAAAGUAGUACCUAAGAGGUUAACAUCACUGUCAGUACCUACUACACCACAAGGCAUUGGCAACAAGUCAGGUUGUUUGGGAAUGCAACUAUGAUUGGGUGGUAAAUUUUGUGCAAGGUUAAAUAUGAGUGAGAGACCGAUAAUGAACAAGCACUGUGAGAGAAAGAUGAAAAAUACUUUGAAAAGAGAGUUAAAUAACGCUUGAAAUCACUAGGAGGGAAGUGAACAGAGGUUGGAGAUGCAUCUUGGUCAUAUACAAAACAGCUCAAGAUGCUCUCCAGCUGGACUCAAGGUUCAAACUAGCACACAUUGGUGCACUAGCACAAAUGCGGGGAGAGAAUUGUUUGUUGUUUCACCAUUGUGGCAGUUGAGGAAUGAAGUUUGUGUACAUGCAGUGGGCCACUCUGCACCUGCAUGCUCAUGGUGCUCAUUAGCGGACUUUCCAUUUGACCUAUCUUGAAACACGGACCAAGGAAACUAACAUGUGUGUGAGUCGAUGAGUUUUAAAGCUUGCAAGGCACAAGGAAGUUGGCCAACAAGAUCCCCUCUAUGUGGGUGCACUGUUGACUGACCUUGAGCUUAUGCGAAGGGCUUGAGUGCGAGCACCCCUAUUGGGCCCCAGAAUAUGGUGAACUAUGCCUAAGCAAGGUGAAGCCAAAGGAAACUCUAGUAGAGGCCUAUAGUGACAUUGAUGUGCAAAUAAUUCUCUGACUUGCGUAUAGGGUGAAAGACUAAUCAAACCAUCUAGUAGCUAGUUUCUCCAAAUUUUCCCCUAGGAUCACUAGAGCUCACUUACGAGUUGUAUCGAGUAAAGCAAAUGAUUUGAGGCAUCAAGGGCAUAACACCCUCAACCUAUUCUCAAACUUUAAAUAGGUAAGAUGAUGUGGCUACUCCAUUGAGUCAUACCACGAAAUCGAGAGCUCCAAGUGGACCAUUUUUGGUAUGCAAAUAUAGCAAUGAAAGAUGAACUAAAAAUCAAGUUAUGAUGCCAAAUUAUGGGCUAAUCCCACAAAGCAUGUUGGUUGAUUAAUAUAGCAAUAAAAUUGUUAUGGAAGUUGAAUCUGCUAAGGAGUGUGUAACAACUAACUUCCCAAUUCAACUAGCCCUGAGAAUGGAUGGUGCUAAAGUGUGUGACCUAUACACAACAAUUGAAGCAAUUGCCAAGCUCCAAUGAGUAAGAGGAUGUGGGGGUCAUUAAACUUUGAAUGUGACACUGGGUAUACCAACCCCCAAUGCAAAUCUUGAUUGUACUAAGUAACAAGUAUUCAAAUGAGAACUUUGAACAUUGAAAUGGGGAAAGAUUCCAUGUGAACAAGGAUUAGACAUGGGUUAGUAUAUCCUAAGAGAUGGUGAAGCCUUGUAUCAAGGGAACUCUACAUGAACAUCGAAAGGGAAUUGAGUUAAUAUUCUUGAACCGGGACAUGGCAGUGGACAACAACGUAGGAAAUACAGAAAUGUCAUCAAAGGCCCUAGGAAGACUUAUAUUUUCCUUUUAACAACUUGUCCACCCUAGAAUCGAUUCAACAAGAGAUUGGGUCCAAUCUCUAAAAGAGGAAAGCAUGCCUUGUAGUGUUUGGUGUGCAUUGAUGGCCCUUGAAAAUCUAGAGGACUGAGUUAUGUUCAUGCCUAGUCCUACUCAUACAACAUCAAAACUCCAAGAUGAACAUCCUUUGGUAAAAAUAGAACAAUGUAGUUGAUGGAAGUUGGCAAAAUGGAUUUGUAAAUUCCGAAAAAGGAUUGGCUCUGAGGGUUGGGCCUAGGGGUCUACAUCCUAAACCCAUGGGAUGCCCAAGCUACUAUUGCAACAAGGGAAAUCAAUCACAUGUUGAAUGGGCUAUGGAUGUAGAGUUCCCCCUAACAAGGACUUUCCCUAGGUGGCGAAUAGACGAUUAAGAACUAGUAUGAACAAGGGAGUCUCACUAUUUAAUUAAAACAAAGCAUUGUGAUGAUCCCUGCAGAUGUUGACACAAUUUGACUUUUGCCCAAUGCUUUGAAUGUCAAAGUGAAGAAAAUCAACAAAACCUGGGUAAACAAUGGGAGUAACUAAGACUCUCUUAAGGUAGCCAAAUGCCUCAUUAUCUAAUUAGUGAUGCACAUGAACGAAUUAACGAGAUUCCCACUAUCCCUAUCUAGUGAAACCACAACCAAGGUAAUGGACUUCAUGAACUCAACAGGGAAAGAAGAUCCUAUUGAGCUAGACACUACCGUGCAUUUGUGAAAAGACAUGAGAGGUGUCGAGAAAGUGGGAGUGGUUGUUAGCACAAGUGAACACCACUACUUUUAACAUUAUGUUUACUUAUUAUGUGAGGCAAAGAUGGAGCAUUUGUUGGAUUACUGAGAGGGAGGGUGAAUCAGUAAUAGAGCAAUUUAAUCCCUUUUAACCAUAUAAUCCAAGUGUUAUAUCAAUGAAGCAUUGUCAUCCAAUAACUGCAGAGUAAAUAAGCAAUGAACAAAUGAACAAUCAUACACAUACACAGUACACCAGUGUUUUAUGUGGAAACCCAAAUCAAGAGAGAACCACGGAAUGUUUUUUCUUAUAUGUCUUGAAGAAUUACAUUCAUUGGAAGCACCAACUUCCUUUGUUUUCCAGCUGCAACUGGAAGGAGGGUCCAACCCCCUAGUUUCUUAUGCUACAACGUGAGGGAAGCUCCAACUCCCCAAUUAUUUGGAUACAACCAGAAGGAGGCUACAACCCCCUAUGUUCUUCGGCUACAACCGGAAGGUGGCUACAACCACCUGUCCUUGCCCCAUCUUGCCACCCUGAAGUAGAAGUAGAAUGAUGGAACCACUGUCACACUAUCACUGU
rfam:Picea glauca, whole genome shotgun sequence.